UCACUGAAAGUGAGAGUUGGAGGAAAACAAACAGAUCAUGGCUAACUAAUCAUGGUCACCGAUCAGCUUGUUUUCCUCCAAUAUCUCACCUUCAGUUG
rfam:Triticum urartu cultivar G1812 contig325239, whole genome shotgun sequence.